AUGAAAUUCAUCAAUCCGAAAGAGGGCAAGAGCGGAGAGAGGGAACAGGGCCCAGGCGAGAGAAACAAAACAGCAAGGACGAGGCCAGUCUGAAGCCGAAUGAUUCAAACGUCGAGAACCAGGUGUUUCAGGGAAGAGCGAAGCCUGUCUGACAGACUCGGUGGGAGCCGCGCCCUCAGCGCAGGACGUGGGAGAUGGACGUUGAAGGAGAGACCAGGCGCGCGGACCCGGAAGAGAGCGGACAGUCGUGUUGACACAGCUGGCGCAAGAGUGUGGGGACACUGAGGCCAGGGCUCUGCUGGCGCUGAGGGGAGGGGGUCUCCUCACGCAGGACGGCCCACCCACAGGAGGACGCGUUCUAUGUCGAUGGCUUUGCUACCCUGGUCUCAAACACGGGGAGCACGGCGGCCGAGUCACAGGCGGAGACAGACCCACGGCCGGCGCAGAACACCGCAGACUUCUCCCUUCCCGCCCGACAGGACGAGCAGGCGAGAAGACGGACUGACGGAGGGGCUCAAACAACAGUGACCUCGCUGAUACACAGACAAUAACCCCCGCAGCGGGGAGCGGCGGACCACGCCAAAACCACGGAGCCCGGCCACCAAGCGAGCAGAGCUUGCGCAGGAUUUUCCUGUGUCAUCCCUGCGCAGUGGAACAACCCCAUCCGAUACCAGGGGUAUUUUUAAGUCACCGUCAGAGUCAUGUAUCUACUCUUUAAAUGUUAGAUUUGUGCAUCCUUGUUGUCAAGUAAAAUCAGCUGAUAAUUUUCUUUUCUACUGAACGUACCCCGUAUAUGACAAAGGGCCCGCCCCCAGAGUGGCUUUCUCCAGCUUGAUUUGUGGAUGGACACGCGUGUGCCAAGAGAUGAAGUUGGCAAGAGGGAAAGUCACCUCCCAUGUUGACUCAUUUAUUCACUCGUCAAAUGGGUUCUGAGGAUUCUGGAUAAACCCUGAACUGUGCCACCCAGAAGUCACCACGCUGAGGACGACAAGACCUGCAGGUGCACUACUUGGCUGGCAGACAACACCUCUGGAGUGAGGAGUUACUGAAACAAGGCCUGAAGUGUGUGAGGUCGGCUUUGGAACUGGGCAGCGAGCCCGAAGGAGCUCCAGGUGCUGCUAGCGAAGCCUUGAAGAGAUUUGCAAUGCCCUCAGGCUGGAUCACAGGCUUCCUUUACUCCACAGCCUGCUGUGGCCAUCACCGCCCCGUCUAUUGACAGUCUUGACCACCCAGAGGGACGAGAGGAUUGGAGGCCAUCACGACUGAAGAUGCUGGGAGAGCUCCACGCUGAAUUCACGACGGGGCAGAGCAGCGGCUUCGAGGAAGGAGAGCCCAGCGGGGCAGGAGGACGAGCUCGCCCUGCCCGGGUGCCACCCACACAGAGAGCCCCCAGCCUCUCUGAGAGGAGGCGCCUGUCCCGUUUGGCUCGGGCAGCAGUAACAAACGGCCACAGGCUGACGGCUUGAACAACAGACGUUCGUUCUCUCACAGUCUGGGGGCUGGACAUCCGAGAUCCGGCUGUCUCAGGGCUGGUUCCUCUGAGGGCUCGCUCCUCGGUGUGUAGACACCGUCUUCUCCCUGUGUCCUCGCAUGGUCGAACCUGUGCGUGUGUCUGCGUCCCCAUCCCCUCUUCUCAUAGGGACCCCAGUGAACGGGAUUAGGCCACCCUGGUGACCUCAGUUUACCUGAAUCACCUCCAAACAUAGACACAUUCUGGGGUCCUGAGAGUUAGGAAUGUGAAUUUGGGGGCACAUUUCAGCCCAUAACAACCCCAAACCCCAUUUCCUGAGGCUGAGGACGGGGUCAGGGGCCGCCUCUCCAACUCCAGCCCACUGCCCUGCUGGCCUCACUCCCCCACGGGUGGGCGGAGAGGCCGUGGGCAUGUCUGGAAGUUUCUGGAGUGUAGAUCACCAGCUCCCAGGGCCAUAGCAGGCUCGCAGGAGGGUGCUAGAAAUUUCCCAGCAGCUCAACCAGCCGCGCCCAAGGUUCCUCCCAGCACCGCAGCCAGGAGGCCAGGAACAAGGGCAGGAGCCCAGAGCCCCGUGCAGACACCUCUGCUGUGGACCAGACAGUCCCAGGUCACAUCUUCACGGUCUGGGUGGGGGUGGGGACUGUGCCCGGGUCCCAGGACUUCAAAGGUCCAGCCCACGUGUGCCACUCCCACCGCCUGGGCCCACCGCCCCUCCCCACCACACGGCUGCGUCCCCUCCACACGGGCGCCCCUGCCCUUCACACGCCCUGUGUCCCCUCUGAGCUCCUGCAUCCAGCCCGGGCUCACAUCAGUGUCUGAAUGACUUUUAAAAUCGUAAGAGAAACAAAG
ensembl:lncRNA